rnacentral:lncRNA from 1 species
GGAUACCUAAAGCCUUACUCCACCUCUGACCUGAAACAAAAGUGAAUGACUACAAGAUCAGUUUGGUUCAUGCUUUAACACCUUAGAUCAGAUCAGUUCAAGUUUGGUUCCACUCAAACUAUACCAGUUCAGCUUGGUUCUAGUCAGUCUACCAAAGUUCAGGACAAGAUCAGACUGAGUUCAAAUUGGCUUAAUCAAAGCCAGAUCAGAACAUCAUAGCUGGUGGUUCUAAGAGGUUGAUUCAAACCGAAAUUAAUCAAAAUCUGAACUAUAUCACCACUUAGAG